ACUCAAAUGAAUUGACGGGGGCCCGCACAAGCGGUGGAUGAUGUGGAUUAAUUCGAUGCAACGCGAAAAACCUUACCUACGCUUGACAUGUCCGAAAGUUUCCAGAGAUGGGAUCGUGCUCGAAAGAGAAUCGGAACACAGGUGCUGCAUGGCUGUCGUCAGCUCGUGUCGUGAGAUGUUGGGUUAAGUCCCGCAACGAGCGCAACCCUUGUCAUUAGUUGCUACAUUUAGUUGGGCACUCUAAUGAGACUGCCGGUGACAAACCGGAGGAAGGUGGGGAUGACGUCAAGUCCUCAUGGCCCUUAUGCGUAGGGCUUCACACGUCAUACAAUGGUCGGUACAGAGGGUCGCCAACCCGCGAGGGGGAGCCAAUCUCACAAAGCCGAUCGUAGUCCGGAUUGCACUCUGCAACUCGAGUGCAUGAAGUCGGAAUCGCUAGUAAUCGCGGAUCAGCAUGUCGCGGUGAAUACGUUCCCGGGCCUUGCACACACCGCCCGU
rnacentral:rRNA from 1 species